UUUCCGUAGGGUAAGUUUAACUCUGAUUGCCUUCGGCAAUCGCCAUUCAAGAAUCAAUUACUAACGUGUUUAUAGUGAACCUGCGGAAGGAUCAUUACCGAGACUGUUCUUUUAAGAGCAACCUCCACCCAAUGUCUUAAAAACAUUUUUAAACUCAAAAAGAAAUUUAUGAGAAUAAAAACUUUCAACAACGGAUCUCUUGGUUCUGGCAUCGAUGAAGAACGCAGC
rnacentral:misc_RNA from 1 species